GAAGGAUGCAACAUCUAUGGAUUCUUAGAAGUUAAUAAGGUCACUGGUAAUUUUCAUUUUGCCCUUGGGAAAAGCUUCCAACAGUCAAAUAUUCAUGUGCAUGAUUUGCUGGCAUUUCAGAAGGAUAGUUUUAAUAUUAGCCACACAAUCAAUAAACUAUCCUUUGGAGCACAUUUCUCGGGCGUUGUUAAUCCUCUUGAUGGAGUACAAUGGGUGCAAAAGACACCAUAUGGGAUGUAUCAGUAUUUCAUCAAGGUUGGUCUCACAGA